rnacentral:rRNA from 1 species
GAUGAACGCUGGCGGCGUGCCUAAUACAUGCAAGUCGAGCGAACAGAUGAGGAGCUUGCUCCUCUGACGUUAGCGGCGGACGGGUGAGUAACACGUGGAUAACCUACCUAUAAGACUGGGAUAACUUCGGGAAACCGGAGCUAAUACCGGAUAAUAUAUUGAACCGCAUGGUUCAAUAGUGAAAGACGGUUUUGCUGUCACUUAUAGAUGGAUCCGCGCCGCAUUAGCUAGUUGGUAAGGUAACGGCUUACCAAGGCAACGAUGCGUAGCCGACCUGAGAGGGUGGAGGGCCACACUGGAACUGAGACACGGUCCAGACUCCUACGGGAGGCAGCAGUAGGGAAUCUUCCGCAAUGGGCGAAAGCUUGACGGAGCAACGCCGCGUGAGUGAUGAAGGUCUUCGGAUCGUAAAACUCUGUUAUUAGGGAAGAACAAAUGUGUAAGUAACUAUGCACGUCUUGACGGUACCUAAUCAGAAAGCCACGGCUAACUACGUG